GUGGGUAAAGCUCAAGUUUAAAACCUGUUUGUCCUAGACAAACCGGAUUGUAAACUAAGGACGUGCUAUCCAGGCUCUUUGGACCUUCAAGUCCUUUGGAAUAAGGCUUCACAGAGGGUGACAAUCCCGUAGAGGGUCUUGAAAGAGUCUAUUGCGAUGCAUGCUCCAAGAGUCAGGUUGUUUGGGAAUGCAGCCUAAAGUGGGAGGUAAAUCCCUCCUAAAGCUAAAUAUUGGCGAGAGACCGAUAGCAAACAAGUACCGUGAGGGAAAGUUGAAAAGGACUUUGAAAAGAGAGUCAAAAGUACGUGAAAUUGCUUAAAGGGAAGCGUUUGGAGCUAGUUUGGCUAGUCUGUUAUCAGCCUGAGCUUCGGCUUUGGUGUACUAUCAGGCUAUUUGCCGGCCAACUUUCAGGAUUGGAAGGAAAGCUUAGUGCUUUGGAGUCUAAAGAGACCUUUGCGGAAGCCUCUGGUGGAGCGUUGGUCUGCCUUGGCCCUUCUGAACCUAUAGUUGGCUUAAUGGCUCUAAACGGCCCGUC
rnacentral:rRNA from 1 species